rnacentral:rRNA from 1 species
AGCAGCCGCGGUAAUUCCAGCUCCAAUAGCGUAUAUUAAAGUUGUUGCAGUUAAAAAGCUCGUAGUUGAAUUUCGGGAUUAGUACGCUGGUCAUGCCUUUGGUAUGUACUGGUGUUACCGAUUCCUACCUUCUGACGAACCGUCAUGCCAUUAAUUUGGUGUGGCGGGGAAUCAGGACUGUUACUUUGAAAAAAUUAGAGUGUUUAAAGCAGGCUCGCGCUUGAAUACAUUAGCAUGGAAUAAUGAAAUAGGACGUUCGAUCCUAUUUUGUUGGUCUCUAGGAUUGACGUAAUGAUUAAUAGGGAUAGUUGGGGGCAUUAGUAUUCAAUUGUCAGAGGUGAAAUUCUUGGAUUUAUUGAAGACUAACUACUGCGAAAGCAUUUGCCAAGGAUGUUUUCAUUAAUCAAGAACGAAAGUUAGGGGAUCGAAGACGAUCAGAUACCGUCGUAGUCUUAACCAUAAACUAUGCCGACUAGGGAUCGGAUGAUGUUAUUUUUAANGACUCAUUCGGCGUCCG